rnacentral:lncRNA from 1 species
CUCAUAUCUAAGCAAUGAAACAGGAAGUAUGCCCCUUUUUCUCCUUCCUCCUCCAGCGGCAGGAUGUGAUCCACCAGCAAGGAGGGACGCCAAUAAGGUGUCCGGAUCUUCCACUGGGUAUCAGAUGUAUGCUAACGAAGCUGGAAGACCAUGAUAACACAAACCUUCUACAGCCCAUUUGCUGCGAGACUCCUUCAGGCAAGUGUCUUCUGAAGGGUGAAAAGACAGUCAAGCAUCAAAGUCAGUCAUAUAUCUUCUUUAUGUUGUAGCUGUAAUUGAGACAUAUUGUUUUGUCAGAGUUUUUUCUUACAACUGGCAAAGAAACUAAGACAACACUCCUAGUUAACGAAGGCUCAUUCUGGAAUGACUUACUGAGGACAUGAAGCAUUUCCUCAAACUAUCUCACAUCUGGAUGUCCAUGGAAUCUAUGAGAAAAAGAUGGAGGAGUCAAUUGAAGAAAUGGGACAAAACUGUGAACAGUCACCUCCCAGAGAUGUUAUGAUGUUUUCACAUAACCCAGUUUGGUGAUAUGAAAAAAACCCUGAAUUACUAGUGCCAUACCACCACAGGGUCAAUCAAAAUGUAGGUAGGGCAAUCAACAUAUAGCAGUGUUCACACGGAGUUAGGGUUUACUAUUCUGCAAUGCUGAGUUCAUUGAGGUGAAAUGCAGAACACAGAGGUGCCAAUGGGCUUGAAGAGUCAUCCCUUUUGACACCAGAUACCUAGAAUUACAAAGGAGGAAGAACAGAACUGGCCAUCAAAAAGUACAUUGAAAUUCAGGGAAAAUAAAUAAUUUUCUAUUUAUUAAUGACAUUUUCAGUCAAUUUGAUGAAAGAAUGCUGUGCUGUCCGGAGCAGGCAUAUGUUGAAAUCAUUAUCAUAAAAGGAAAAGAGAAAAAGAAUGUAAGAGAAAGAGACUAGCGUUAGAGUUCUAAAGAGCUAAAUGAGGUGGUGAUAAACAAGGCAGAAAGAAAACUACCUUUCAACAACUGAAUUUCCCCCUCUUCCAUCAAGACUUUGAUUGUUUAUGUCACUUACUGAUUUUGCUUUUCUGACAGUAAUUAUGAAUAAUAAAGACUGCUGACUUUGGUAUCUGGCUAACAAAUAUGUUUAUGACAAUGUAUACAGACCACAGUUUGAAGAGCAUAAAAUAAAGUCAUUUAGAAGCAAACAAACGAGAAACCCAAUCACCAAAACAAACAAACAAACAAAAACCCAGGAACUUGUGGACUUCUGGAACUUCUUUCACACACAUUUGUAAUAGUGGAGUUAAAAGAAAUCUUGUUUCCCACAAAGACAGCCACUCUCCUCACGCCCCUUUCCAAUUAAGUUAAGAAACUAAACCCUCUUGGGUAAAUUGUUGCAAUGCUAAUGCAAUCCAGACAGGCAUCUUGAAACAUGAAACAGAAAAAACAAAAUUAUCCAAUGGAAAUCCUUCAUUAACAAUCCCUGGUUCAAUGGAACUUAGAAAACGUGGAAGAAACAUGACCUCAAUGUGUCACGGAUGAUAAUGAUCUCAUGUCUAGGCUGUGCCUUCUACCCACAUGUAUCCCAAACACUUUUGCAGGUUUCCUUAGGGGUGGGAAACAGGCAGUCGGACAUUAUUACAAAUUAAUAAGUUCUGGAAAAUCUAACAGCAUAGACCAACAGCUAAUGUCCAUCAGUACCCCCAAGAUAUUUAGGAAACUGGACAGCAGGGCUCUCCUUAUACAUCUGACUCACACCUCUAGAGGAAUUCAAUAGAAACAAAAUGUUCUAUCAGCAAUCUAUGUUUACAUCAGACUGCUGCUUCUCUUCAGAAUAAAAAUAUAAAUAACUAAGAAUCACCAUCACUUCUAGUAAGAAGAACGUUUGUUUAUUGUUUUUAAAACUCUCCCAAAAUUCCACUGGCAAGAAUUAUGUCUCCCCAGAGUAAAUCUUGCUGGUUAUAUCAAUCCAUGUUUAAAUCCUGGCCCAAUUCUAUUUCUAACUUGCCACUAUACACAGGCUCUUUGUCAUAGGAUUCAGCUCAGCAAAGGGAGUGACAGCACAAGGACUGUUGCAGGAGCCAGAAGAAGGAGUCAGGUCCCCUGGUCUGGGAUCCCCAAUGGUUGUAAGCUAUCAUGGGUGCUGGGAACUGAAGUCCAGUCUUUGGAUGAACCAGCCAAUCCCAAAGAGCUCACCCUGGUCAUGAGGAUGGGAGAGAGCUGGUGGGCUGACCAAUCCUGCAACUACCCAGGCCCAGAACCAGGUUAUGAGUUGGUCCAUCUCAACAUCUACCCCAUCUAUGAUCUGCUACAACAUGUGAAGGGGCACAUCCUACAGAUCCAAAGCUGCAGGAACUCCAUGACACAGAGCAUCAACAGGAUACCCAAGAGGAGUCCCAGUGAGGGUCCAGUAUAUAUGGUAUAGCAGAAACCAGAGGCCUCUAACCCAACCAAUGACUCUUGCAAGUGAAGAUAUAUGGACAAACAGAUAUACUGUGUCACACCACAGUUUCUAUGCCAAGACUUUUCUUUUUUCAAUUUUUCUUGUCUUAAAUUUUAUUUCAUUUUAUUUUGGUAGGGAGGCUGCAAGGGCAGAGGGAGGAUACAAAGGAACAGAGAGAUGUAUGGGAUAAAUAAAAAUAAAGGUAAAACAACAACACAGAGUUCAGUGCUUGGUACAUAGUGUGCUUUCAAAAGUGAUGGCUUUAGUUGGGCAUGGGACAUACACCUACAAUCAAGUGUGAGGCUAGUUCAAGGAGGAUAGAACCAAAUGUUAGAUGGCAGCUUAGGGUACACAGUGAGAUGAAGAAGAAGAACAGGAGAAGAGGAUGAGGGGAGGAGGGGAAGAUGGGAGGAAGUAAGGAGAAACAGCUUAUAAUCUUGAAAAUGUUGAUUUCAAGUUUGCCAUGUUCUGUGUCCUCUGUGUAGACAAUUAGUUUGAAUUAAAUAUUGAGCAUAAGGAAACAUUAAGUUUGGCAAGGCAGAGGCCACAUGUGUUUUCUAGAAGACAGAGUUUUUCUUUAGGGCAAAUCAUUUCGUAGGCUGGCAGUGGCAAUGAGCUAACCCAUCUUCAGAAGAGAUACAGGGCUUUUUGUCUCAAAAGUGAACACUGCAAAUUCAAAUUGAGCUCGCAACACAUCAAGCAAACUUGACUUUAAACCUUUUGUAACCCGUGUAAUAAAAGUUUCAGAUUCAGCGAAUGGGUUGUGUCUAUUAAACACUAAACUUCAUUGGCAUAAUUGAGACUCAUUUAGAGCAGAAUUACUCUGACAUUCAGCAGGGGAAGCAGAAGCUAAUUCCUGUUCUUUAUUAACUCAUCACCUUGUCUGCACUGGGAUCUUGAGGCUGAUGAAGGAAGCCCCGUGUUCCCUACCUACUGCCUUACAGCACUUUGUGCCACUGUCACAGACUAACUGAGGCUGGCUAAGUUAAUUAACACUAGCUUAUUUGGUUCAUGGUUCUGAAGGCUAGGAUAGUAUUAUUUAUUUUAUUUGAUUACUUCUUAUUACUAUAAUAGGUCAAAUGAGCAAGCUAACUUAUGAAGCAAAUGGGUUUGUUUUGUCUCAUCAUUCUGGAAGUAGCAGUAGCCUUCCUCUGGAAGAACUCAGGAAAGCACAAGACUUUACUGCAGGAGAAAAAGAGCAGAAGUGUGGGUCCACCUCUCCACUCUCUCUCUCCUUCUUUAUGUAGGGCUACCAGGGUUCAUGUAUCAGGGCUUCACUCAUGACCUCAUUUGAUCCUAAUUGCCUCCCAAAGACCCCAUGACUAAAUACCAUAAUCUAUAAGUUUCUAUACUGCUCAUAUGUUGUAAAGGGGUUUAGAUUUUAGUCAACUAAAAUCCUAUCAAACCCUAGCAUAGACAUUAUCUGAUUUUUUCAUACUUAAGUCUCAAUUUCAUUUAAUAUUGUUAAGAUGAGCUCUUACUGGCUGUAUAUUAUCCAACAGCAGAGGAGUAUAUCACCUAAUUAAUUGUUACAAUGCAAUGGUAAGACUCCACAACAAUUGAGAAGAGUUGCCUAACUAACAACAGACAAUUGAUACAGGUUUUAAGACAGGGGAUAGAGUUAGGUCCCUUUCUCCUAUGACACAAUUAAAAAUUAUGAAAAAUUAUU